UACGUAGGGCGCAAGCGUUGUCCGGAAUCAUUGGGCGUAAAGCGCGUGUAGGCGGUUCCCUAAGUCUGUUGUGAAAGUCGGAGGCUCAACCUUCGAAAGCCGAUGGAUACUGUGUGACUUGAGUACGGAAGAGGAGAGUGGAAUUCCUGGUGUAGCGGUGAAAUGCGCAGAUAUCAGGAGGAACACCAACGGCGAAGGCAGCUCUCUGGGACGUUACUGACGCUGAGACGCGAAAGCGUGGGGAGCAAACAGG
rnacentral:rRNA from 1 species